ensembl:snRNA U6 U6 spliceosomal RNA
GUGGUCACUUUGGCAGCACAGAUACUAAAAUUGGAACAAUACAGAGAUUAGCAUGGCCCCUGCACAAGGAUGACGUGCAAAUUCGUGAAGUGUUCCAUAUUUAA